rnacentral:misc_RNA from 1 species
UGGCAGGAAAAACGCAUGCAAAUUUGAAACGCUAUGAUGGGAAAGACCACCAUCAUACUGGCCUAUGGGAGGUGGGAUAUUUGAAAUCUUGUGGUCCUUCAAUUUCAAUAUUAGGAUCAGAUGGCUAUCAUGGGAACGUAUGGGUGCAACAGCCUUAUUAGAACAGUUCAUAAUUUGAUUUGCAUAUGCGACUGGACUUGUCUAAGGUUAUGUCUUAUUAUUUUGCAGCCUUAAAUCCGGGAUGAUUCUUUAAUUGUAAAAAAAAAAAAAAUGUUGUGCCCUCUUCUGUUGCAUUUAUAGGACAAAUAUAAACUUGAAUUGUGCCAAUAUGUGGCAAGGCCAAGGUGGAAUUGGUGUGUUUUUCA